GGACAGGUGGCCGAGUGGCUGAAGGCGCUCCCCUGCUAAGGGAGUAUGGGGUUUAGAGCUCCAUCGAGGGUUCGAAUCCCUCCCUGUCCG
rnacentral:tRNA from 1 species